UUUUUUUAUGAUUAAGACAUUCUUCACUGCUCAAACCCAAAAUUUGUUUUCUUCUCUAUCACUAAAAGCAAUUUUGUUUUCGGUCUAAAGCGAAAUAUGUUUUCUUUUUUGCUUAGCAAUAUUAAUUCUAGGCAAGUUGAGAAUACAUAUUUUGAUCUUGAUUUCUGUUAUACUGUGAAAAGGUUUCUAUAAUGCUUGUUGAUUUCUUCAAUUUGAUCUGAGUAACUUUAUUUUUUUAAGAACAAACGAUCAGAGUUCACCACAUGGUUGGUUGAAAUAAAAAAGAUUUUAAAGAGUUGAAGAUAACAAUCGAUGAGACAUUGAGCUUUGAGUUAUGUGAGAGUUCUUUUUUAACUGAGGUAACUCUCUCUCCCUUGUUUCUUAAUUCUCUCCCUUUGCUUUCCAAAUUGCCUCCCAGGCCAUCUUGCCAUUGUGAAAUACUAUUGGAAUGUGAGUUUAUUGGAAGUUUAAUAGGUAACUGCUUAGAUUCUUCUGCUAAAGUUCAAAAUGUCCACACCUCCCAA